rnacentral:rRNA from 1 species
GACGAACGCUGGCGGCGUGCCUAAUACAUGCAAGUAGGACGCAGUUGCGAACGGGUGAGUAACGCGUAGGUAACUACCUAUUAGAGGGGGAUAACUAUUGGAAACGAUAGCUAAUACCGCAUACUAGUAGAUGGACCUGCGUUGUAUUAUCUAGUAGCUAGGGUAAUGGCCUACCUAGGCAACGAUACAUAGCCGACCUGGGAGGGUGAUCGGCCACACUUGGACUGAGAAACCGCCCAGACUCCUUCGGGAGGCAGCAGUAGGGAAUCUUCGGCAAUGGGGGGAACCCUGACCGAGCAACGCCGGGUGAGUGAAGAAGGUUUUCGGAUCGUAAAGCUCUGUUGUGAAGGAAGCGGUACUUAACCAGAAAGGGAUGGCUAACUACGUGCCAGCCGCCGCGGUAAUAC